rnacentral:rRNA from 1 species
UACGUAGGGUGCGAGCGUUAAUCGGAAUUACUGGGCGUAAAGCGUGCGCAGGCGGUUUUUUAAGACAGGCGUGAAAUCCCCGGGCUUAACCUGGGAACUGCGUUUGUGACUGGAAGGCUAGAGUAUGGCAGAGGGGGGUGGAAUUCCACGUGUAGCAGUGAAAUGCGUAGAGAUGUGGAGGAACACCGAUGGCGAAGGCAGCCCCCCUGGGGCCAACUACUGACGCUCAGUGCACGAAAGCGUGGGGAGCAAACAGG